rnacentral:rRNA from 1 species
GAUGAACGCUAGCUACAGGCUUAACACAUGCAAGUCGAGGGGCAGCGAGGGCGUAGCAAUACGCCUGUCGGCGACCGGCGCACUGGUGAGUAACACGUAUGCGACCUGCCCCCUACAGGGGUAUAACCCGUAGAAAUGCGGACUAAUCCCCCAUAGUCCUGGGUGCUGCAUGGCAUUCAGGGGAAAGCCAGCCGGUAGGGGAUGGGCAUGCGGCGCAUUAGCUAGUUGGCGGGGCAACGGCCCACCAAGGCGACGAUGCGUAGGGGUUCUGAGAGGAAGGUCCCCCACACUGGUACUGAGACACGGUCCAGACUCCUACGGGAGGCAGCAGUGGGGAAUCUUCCGCAAUGGCGAAAGCCUGACGGAGCAACGCCGCGUGAGUGAAGAAGGUCUUCGGACCGUUAAAGCUCUGUUGUCGGGGACGAAUGUUGAGACCUAGAACAUAGGUUUCAAAUGACGGUACCUGACGAGGAAGCCACGGCUAACUACGUGCCAGCAGCCG